rnacentral:rRNA from 1 species
GGAGUACGGCCGCAAGGCUAAAACUCAAAGGAAUUGACGGGGGCCCGCACAAGCGGCGGAGCAUGCGGAUUAAUUCGAUGCAACGCGAAGAACCUUACCAAGGCUUGACAUGUUCUCGAUCGCCGUAGAGAUACGGUUUCCCCUUUGGGGCGGGUUCACAGGUGGUGCAUGGUUGUCGUCAGCUCGUGUCGUGAGAUGUUGGGUUAAGUCCCGCAACGAGCGCAACCCUCGUUCCAUGUUGCCAGCACGUAGUGGUGGGGACUCAUGGGAGACUGCCGGGGUCAACUCGGAGGAAGGUGAGGACGACGUCAAAUCAUCAUGCCCCUUAUGUCUUGGGCUUCACGCAUGCUACAAUGGCCGGUACAAUGGGUUGCGAUACUCUGAGGUGGAGCUAAUCCCAAAAAGCCGGUCUCAGUUCGGAUUGGGGUCUGCAACUCGACCCCAUGAAGUCGGAGUCGCUAG